rnacentral:tRNA from 1 species
GUUUAUGUAGUUUAAUUUUAAGAAUAAUAAUUUGUGGUAUUAUAGGUAUAAAUUUUAUCUUAAACC